rnacentral:rRNA from 1 species
UACAGAGGUCUCGAGCGUUAGGCGGAAUCACUGGGCUUAAAGCGUGUGUAGGCGGAUCGGUAAGUACCUUGUGAAAUCCCACAGCUUAACUGUGGAACUGCUUGGUAUACUGCCAGUCUUGAGCCACUUAGGGGUCAGCGGAACAAAUGGUGGAGCGGUGAAAUGCGUAGAUAUCAUUUGGAACGCCAAUGGUGAAAACAGCUGACUGGGAGUGUGCUGACGCUGAGACACGAAAGCCAGGGGAGCGAACGGG